rnacentral:tRNA from 1 species
GCUAGUAGCAUAAUAGGACAAAAUGCAAAAGAUUGCAAAUCUUUGGAUGAUGGUUCAAGUCCAUCCUAGCU